rnacentral:rRNA from 1 species
AGGCCUGAGGGUUGUAAAGCACUYYCWUUACUGAGGAAGUGUCAUUGAUUAAGAGUUGAUGACAUUGACGUUAGGUAAAGAAGAAGCACCGGCUAACUCCGUGCCAGCAGCCGCGGUAAUACGGAGGGUGCGAGCGUUAAUCGGAAUUACUGGGCGUAAAGCGCACGUAGGUGGUUAUUUAAGUUAACUGUGAAAGUCCUGGGCUUAACCUGGGAAUGCCAGUUAAUACUGGAUAGCUAGAGUACAGUAGAGGGUAGUGGAAUUUCCGGUGUAGCGGUGAAAUGCGUAGAGAUCGGAAGGAACAUCAGUGGCGAAGGCGGCUACCUGGACUGAUACUGACACUGAGGAGCGAAAGCGUGGGGAGCGAACAGGAUUAGAUACCCUGGUAGUCCACGCUGUAAACGAUGUCAACUAGCUGUUGGUGUCCAUGAGGCAUUAGUGGCGCAGCUAACGCGUUAAGUUGACCGCCUGGGGAGUACGGCCGCAAGGCUAAAACUCAAAGGAGUUGACGGGGGCCCGCACAAGCGGUGGAGCAUGUGGUUUAAUUCGAUGCAACGCGAAGAACCUUACCUACUCUUGACAUCCUUGGAAAGCUUUAGAGAUAGAGCUGUGCCUUCGGGAGCCAAGUGACAGGUGCUGCAUGGCUGUCGUCAGCUCGUGUCGUGAGAUGUUGGGUUAAGUCCCGUAACGAGCGCAACCCUUAUCCUUAGUUGCCAGCAU